UCCUUGAGCAAAACCAAGAAGCUCAUUCCUAAGUGUGCUACUCUAAGUGUGCUAGUUUCAAGUAUCCUUUAAUUUCUUUGGAGGAGAAUAAAAUUCCGGGUUUUAACCCAGGUUUUGUUCAAACUUAUUUCCGAAAGACGAUCCUCUCUUUUGGUAUCAGAGCUAUGGAAGGCUAAACUUAUAAUUCAAGGCAAAAGAAAGAAUCCAGGGAAGAAAGAUGGAGACUCGACAUACAUCCUUACUAAGGUAGUAAGGCUAGUAAGUGCGUAAGACAGUAAGUCUUAAAACCCAAAGGAAGGUGUUCUUUUGUAUUAUUUCCUAUAAGAAUUCCUCUAGUCAUUUGCAAUAAGGCGACCAAGUUGAUUAACUGAUUGUAAAAGAACGUCGUGCACAUAAGCCUCCAUGUUGAGCCGUUGCCAGUCGUGUGAACAUGAAAAUUUUAUCAACAUCUAAGCUGUAAGCAAUAGACUAAGAAACCUUGAUGAGUGAAAAAUUUAAACAAAGUGUGAAGGAAUGGUAUGUAAAUCCUGAACCUCGAGCCUUGAAUAUCUAGAUUUAGCAGGAAAUCCUAAAAUAGAAACUUCUGAUUUAACAAUAAUAUCGGAGUUUUAUA